CUCAGCUGCCCCCCGCGUCUCAACACCCCCAAACAGCCUGGUGAAGUUCAAGGUCUCUGCGGCCAGUGACCAUCAACAGACCGGGGAGGACACAGACAGUCUGGACGCCUCUCAGUCGGUCCCAAACACUCCACUGGAGGUUCAGUUUUAGGGAAGCUCGGGCUUUUAAAAGAUUCCAGCACCGAUUUGCUGUGAGAAGUUGUCCAAAGUCGUGUCCUCUCAGGGGUAUCUGGGGGAUGAAAUCAUGCUGGAGAAGUCCACAGAAGCUCAUAUGGAAAUAUGCAUAACAUUUAAAACAGCUCAACUCUAUACUAAAGGGAACCCAAACUUUUUUAUUCUUCUGAACAAAUGAUCAAAAACAGACCAAACUGGCUUGAAAAAGGAGGCGAAGAGAAAGAAGAAACAACUUGAAUAAGAAGAAAAUACAGGAUAAAGAUGCAGACUAACAAAGAUGAAGGAGGAGAAGAAGAAGGAGAGGAAGGAGAAGUCGAGGUUAUGGAGCAACAGGAUCAGAUCCAUGGAUGCAGUCAGGGGAUGAUAGGUGGUCCCAGGUGUCUGUAAUGACAUCAGAGAGAGAGAUCCUGCAUCUGCAUCGUGCAGCAGAUCCUGUUUCCUCAGAAAGUCUCUUCACGAGAGACAGGUCACGGCCAAUAGCCUCUGUCUGACACGUAAUUGGUGGUAUUGAUUAUAGGUUAUCGUAUGCUGCGGGCCAUUUGUAAGAUAAUGCUGCAGGGGUUAAUUUGUCAGCCAUUAACCUUUUGGACUGGUUGGACGUGUGUGUGUGUAAAUUAAGUUUCAAACAACUUGUAAAUGGGUCACCUAGCCUCAUCUAAUAAAUGCUAAACAUAUUUAAGGUACAUUACAAUACAACACUGUGCAUGAUGACAGUUUAAGCACAUUUGACAGGUGGGCACUCGAGCAGUAAAAGGUUAAGAUUUCUUAAAAGUCUCUCAUGUGUUAUCCAAAUUAACCCCCCAUCCCCCCCCCCCCCACACACACACACACACACAUACACGCACACACACACACACAGCCACAUGCCCCCCAAGGCUUCCAGAGCAGCACCAAGCAGAAAUUCUUGCGCUGAACCUUUAGAAAAAAAUAUCUCAUCACCUAAAAAUGAAUGUGACAUUUUACAGGAAACACCUUUUCCUCUUUGCUUUAUAUCUGUGAAGUUGCUGCUCGCCUACAGGACUCUGAAAGUUGAUCCAGUCUGUCAAUCAGAACUAAUGGUCAAGGUCUAAACUUGAAAAACAAGCCACACAGUGACUAAAUGUGAUAUCCAUGUUAUAUUCCUCUACAAAGUCAUGCGGAUAUGAUAAAUCUGUCCAAAACAAAGUCUGUCACUGUAUCAAUGGAUGCACUCUGACUUUAAAAGUCAUAAGACAUUUUUAAGUUUUUGCUGUAAUAUCUGGUAAAUGUGACCUGUUCUAACAUUCCUGCCUUUACAAAAAUAAAU